rnacentral:rRNA from 1 species
GACGAACGCUGGCGGCGUGCUUAACACAUGCAAGUCGAACGGAAAGGCCCUGCUUUUGUGGGGUGCUCGAGUGGCGAACGGGUGAGUAACACGUGAGUAACCUGCCCUUGACUUUGGGAUAACUUCAGGAAACUGGGGCUAAUACCGGAUAGGAGCUCCUGCUGCAUGGUGGGGGUUGGAAAGUUUCGGCGGUUGGGGAUGGACUCGCGGCUUAUCAGCUUGUUGGUGGGGUAGUGGCUUACCAAGGCUUUGACGGGUAGCCGGCCUGAGAGGGUGACCGGCCACAUUGGGACUGAGAUACGGCCCAGACUCCUACGGGAGGCAGCAGUGGGGAAUAUUGCACAAUGGGCGGAAGCCUGAUGCAGCAACGCCGCGUGCGGGAUGACGGCCUUCGGGUUGUAAACCGCUUUCGCCUGUGACGAAGCGUGAGUGACGGUAAUGGGUAAAGAAGCACCGGCUAACUACGUGCCAGCAGCCGCGGUGAUACGUAGGGUGCGAGCGUUGUCCGGAUUUAUUGGGCGUAAAGGGCUCGUAGGUGGUUGAUCGCGUCGGAAGUGUAAUCUUGGGGCUUAACCCUGAGCGUGCUUUCGAUACGGGUUGACUUGAGGAAGGUAGGGGAGAAUGGAAUUCCUGGUGGAGCGGUGGAAUGCGCAGAUAUCAGGAGGAACACCAGUGGCGAAGGCGGUUCUCUGGGCCUUUCCUGACGCUGAGGAGCGAAAGCGUGGGGAGCGAACAGGCUUAGAUACCCUGGUAGUCCACGCUGUAAACGGUGGGUACUAGGUGUGGGGUCCAUUCCACGGGUUCCGUGCCGUAGCUAACGCUUUAAGUACCCCGCCUGGGGAGUACGGCCGCAAGGCUAAAACUCAAAGGAAUUGACGGGGCCCCGCACAAGCGGCGGAGCAUGCGGAUUAAUUCGAUGCAACGCGUAGAACCUUACCUGGGUUUGACAUGGAUCGGGAGUGCUCAGAGAUGGGUGUGCCUCUUUUGGGGUCGGUUCACAGGUGGUGCAUGGCUGUCGUCAGCUCGUGUCGUGAGAUGUUGGGUUAAGUCCCGCAACGAGCGCAACCCUUGUUCACUGUUGCCAGCACGUUAUGGUGGGGACUCAGUGGAGACCGCCGGGGUCAACUCGGAGGAAGGUGGGGAUGACGUCAAGUCAUCAUGCCCCUUAUGUCCAGGGCUUCACGCAUGCUACAAUGGCUGGUACAGAGAGUGGCGAGCCUGUGAGGGUGAGCGAAUCUCGGAAAGCCGGUCUCAGUUCGGAUUGGGGUCAGCAACUCGACCUCAUGAAGUCGGAGUCGCUAGUAAUCGCAGAUCAGCAACGCUGCGGUGAAUACGUUCCCGGGGCU